rnacentral:rRNA from 1 species
AAAUUCCGGGCACAGGACGCGGUGAAGUAGGCCGGGCGUUGCGAUGGAGAUGCAGCGUCCAAGCUCGCAGGUCUUCGGACCGAGGAGUGGGGCAGUCCGCGGGCAACCAAGGACGAUCCGGUUGAUCCUUGCCGCCGAGAAAAGCCGUGUUCGGGACGCCGCGAGCGCCCGUACCGCAGACCGACACUGGUGGGCAGGAGUGAGAGCUCUCAGGCGAACGAGUGAUCCCUCGUUAAGGAACUAGGCAAGUUGACCCCGUAACUUCGGGAUAAGGGGUGCCCCGCUAGGGUGAACAGCCUUGCGCUGAUAAGCCUGAGGGGGCCGCAGAGAAUAGGCCCAACCGACUGUUUAACAAAAACACAGCUCCCUGCCAAAGCGAAAGCUGAUGUAUAGGGGGUGACGCCUGCCCGGUGCCGGAAGGUCAAAGGGAGGGGUUUUAAAAGCUCUGAACUGAAGCCCCGGUGAACGGCGGCCGUAACUAUAACGGUCCUAAGGUAGCGAAAUUCCUUGUCGGGUAAGUUCCGACCCGCACGAAUGGCGUAACGAGUUGGGCGCUGUCUCAACGAGGGGCUCGGCGAAAUUGAAUUGGCUGUGAAGAUGCAGCCUACCCGCAGCAGGACAAAAAGACCCCGUGGAGCUUUACUGUAGCCUGAUGUUGAAUCGGGGCCGUGCAUGCGUAGGAUAGGUGGGAGCCGGCGAACCCUGGUCUCUGGUCCAGGGGGAGGCAACCUUGAAAUACCACCCUUGCUCGGUUUUGGUCCUAACUUCUAGCCGUCAUCCGGCAGAGGGACAGCAUCUGGUGGGCAGUUUGACUGGGGCGGUCGCCUCCUAAAGAGUAACGGAGGCGCCCAAAGGUUCCCUCAGGCUGGAUGGAAAUCAGCCGUAGAGUGCAUUGGCAGAAGGGAGCUUGACUGUGAGGCCUACAAGCCGAGCAGAGACGAAAGUCGGGCAAAGUAUCCUCUGGCCCCGAGUGGAAGGGCCAGGGCUUAACGGAUAAAAGCUACCCCGGGGAUAACAGGCUGAUCUUGCCCGAGAGUCCAUAUCGACGGCAAGGUUUGGCACCUCGAUGUCGGCUCGUCGCAUCCUGGGGCCGGAGCAGGUCCCAAGGGUUGGGCUGUUCGCCCAUUAAAGCGGUACGCGAGCUGGGUUCAGAACGUCGUGAGACAGUUCGGUCUCUAUCCACUGCGGGCGUAGGGAAUUUGAGGAAGGCUGUCCCUAGUACGAGAGGACCGGGAUGGACGGACCUCCGGUGUACCAGUUGUCCUGCCAAGGGCAUCGCUGGGUAGCCGACGUCCGGUCGGGAUAAGCGCUGAAAGCAUCUAAGCGCGAAGCCCUUUCCAAGAUGAGAUUCCCCACUGCACAAGCCGGUAAGGCCACAGGAAGAUUACCUGUUUGAUAGGCCGCGUGUGUAAGGCGGGCAAUCGCCUCAGCUAAGCGGUACUAAUGGCCGAGGGCUCAUUAG